GGCUUCGGUCUACUAGUAAAGUGGCGGACGGGUGCGUAACACGUGGGUAAUCUACCUUCCGGCGGGGGACAACAGUCCGAAAGGAUUGCUAAUACCGCAUACGUCAGCGGCGCCUACGGGCGCUGUUGGGAAAGAUGGCCUCUCCUUGGAAGCUGUCACCGGAAGAUGAGCCCGCGUCCCAUCAGCUAGUUGGUGAGGUAACGGCUCACCAAGGCUUAGACGGGUAGCUGGUCUGAGAGGAUGAUCAGCCACACUGGGACUGCGACACGGCCCAGACUCCUACGGGAGGCAGCAGUGGGGAAUAUUGGGCAAUGGGCGGAAGCCUGACCCAGCCACGCCGCGUGAGUGAUGAAGGCCUUCGGGUCGUAAAGCUCUGUGGGGAGGGACGAAUAAGCCUGGUAUCAACACCACCGGGCCCUGACGGUACCUCCUUAGCAAGCACCGGCUAACCCUGUGCCAGCAGCCGCGGUAAUACAGGGGGUGCAAACGUUGCUCGGAAUCAUUGGGCGUAAAGCGCACGUAGGCGGUUUGUUAUGUCGGAUGUGAAAGCCCUUGGCUCAACUGAGGAAGUGCAUCCGAAACUGGCAAGCUAGAGUACUAAAGAGGGUCGCGGAAUUCCCGGUGUAGAGGUGAAAUUCGUAGAUAUCGGGAGGAACACCGGUGGCGAAGGCGGCGACCUGGGUAGAUACUGACGCUGAGGUGCGAAAGCGUGGGGAGCAAACAGGAUUAGAUGCCCUGGUAGUCCACGCCGUAAACGAUGAGUGCUAGAUGUUUCUGGUAUUGACCCCGGAGGCGUCGUAGCUAACGCG
rnacentral:rRNA from 1 species